rnacentral:rRNA from 1 species
AUUGAACGCUGGCGGCAUGCUUUACACAUGCAAGUCGAACGGCAGCACGGGGGCAGCCCUGGUGGCGAGUGGCGAACGGGUGAGUAAUACAUCGGAACGUGCCCGGUCGUGGGGGAUAACGUAGCGAAAGUUACGCUAAUACCGCAUACGAUCUGAGGAUGAAAGCGGGGGACCUUCGGGCCUCGCGCGAUCGGAGCGGCCGAUGUCAGAUUAGGUAGUUGGUGGGGUAAAGGCUUACCAAGCCGACGAUCUGUAGCUGGUCUGAGAGGACGACGAGCCACACUGGGACUGAGACACGGCCCAGACUCCUACGGGAGGCAGCAGUGGGGAAUGUUGGACAAUGGGCGCAAGCCUGAUCCAGCCAUGCCGCGUGCAGGACGAAGGCCUUCGGGUUGUAAACUGCUUUUGUACGGAACGAAAAGGCUCUGGCUAAUACCUGGGGCUCAUGACGGUACCGGAAGAAUAAGCACCGGCUAACUACGUG